GACGAACGCUGGCGGCGUGCCUAAUACAUGCAAGUUGAGCGCUGAAGGUUGGUACUUGUACCAACUGGAUGAGCAGCGAACGGGUGAGUAACGCGUGGGGAAUCUGCCUUUGAGCGGGGGACAACAUUUGGAAACGAAUGCUAAUACCGCAUAAAAACUUUAAACACAAGUUUUAAGUUUGAAAGAUGCAAUUGCAUCACUCAAAGAUGAUCCCGCGUUGUAUUAGCUAGUUGGUGAGGUAAAGGCUCACCAAGGCGAUGAUACAUAGCCGACCUGAGAGGGUGAUCGGCCACAUUGGGACUGAGACACGGCCCAAACUCCUACGGGAGGCAGCAAUAGGGAAUCUUCGGCAAUGGACGAAAGUCUGACCGAGCAACGCCGCGGGAGUGAAGAAGGUUUUCGGAUCGUAAAACUCUGUUGGUAGAGAAGAACGUUGGUGAGAGUGGAAAGCUCAUCAAGUGACGGUAACUACCCAGAAAGGGACGGCUAACUACGUG
rnacentral:rRNA from 1 species